rnacentral:rRNA from 1 species
UCUAAAAUCAAGGGGAAUUACCCGCGAAACUAAAGCAU